rnacentral:rRNA from 1 species
AAAUCUAGUUGAUCCUGCUAGAGGCUGCUGCUCUUCCGCUACGGAUAAGCCAUGCAAGUUUCUCGCGAGAGAGCAAACUGCUCAGUAACACGUAGCUAACCUGACCUUAAGCGGAGGAUAACCUCGGGAAACUGAGGGUAAUACUUCAUAGAUUUAGAAUACUGGAAUGUUUCUAAAUUGAAACGCAAGGCUUAAGGAUGGGGCUGCGGCUGAUUAGGUUGUUGGCGGGGUAACGGCCCACCAAGCCAAAGAUCAGUAAGGGCCCUUAGCGGGGGUGCCCUGAGAAGGAUCCUGAGACACUGAUCCUAGCUCUACGGAGUGCAGCAGGCGCGAAAAUUUUACACUGCUCGAAAGAGUGAUAGAGGUAGCGGAAGUGCCUUCACUUACUAAGUGUCGGCUUUUGUUAUAUGUAAAAAGUAUAAAGAAUAAGGGCUGGGCAAGACUGGUGCCAGCCGCCGCGGUAAUACCAGCGGCUCAAGUGGGAGCCACAUUUAUUGGGUCUAAAGCAUUCGUAGCCGGUUCUGUAAAUCCCUUGUGAAAUUGUAUUGCUCAACAUUACAACGUGCUAGGGACACUGCAGAACUAGAGACCGGGAGAAGUAGACGGAAUUGUUGGGGAAGCGGUAAAAUGUUAUAAUCCCGACAGGACCACCAACGGCGAAGGCAGUCUACUAGAACGGGUCUGACGGUGAGGGAUGAAAGCUAGGGGAGCAAACCGGAUUAGAUACCCGGGUAGUCCUAGCUGUAAACACUGCACACUAAACAUCACUCUCUCCUCGUGAGAAAGUGGUGCUGAAGCGAAGGCGUUAAGUGUGCCACCUGGGGAGUACGGUCGCAAGACUGAAACUUAAAGGAAU